rnacentral:rRNA from 1 species
AUUGAACGCUGGCGGCAGGCCUAACACAUGCAAGUCGAGCGGAUGAAGGGAGCUUGCUCCUGGAUUCAGCGGCGGACGGGUGAGUAAUGCCUAGGAAUCUGCCUGGUAGUGGGGGAUAACGUCCGGAAACGGGCGCUAAUACCGCAUACGUCCUGAGGGGGAAAGUGGGGGAUCUUCGGACCUCACGCUAUCAGAUGAGCCUAGGUCGGAUUAGCUAGUUGGUGGGGUAAAGGCCUACCAAGGCGACGAUCCGUAACUGGUCUGAGAGGAUGAUCAGUCACACUGGAACUGAGACACGGUCCAGACUCCUACGGGAGGCAGCAGUGGGGAAUAUUGGACAAUGGGCGAAAGCCUGAUCCAGCCAUGCCGCGUGUGUGAAGAAGGUCUUCGGAUUGUAAAGCACUUUAAGUUGGGAGGAGGGGCAGUAAGUUAAUACCUUGCUGUUUUGACGUUACCAACAGAAUAAGCACCGGCUAACUUCGUG